CCUACGGGAGGCAGCAGUGGGGAGUUUUGCGCAAUGGGGGAAACCCUGACGCAGCAACGCCGCGUGAGUGAUGAAGGCCUUCGGGUUGUAAAACUCUUUUAGUGGGGAAGAAACACCUUGGGGCUAAUAUCCCCAGGGCUUGACGGUACCCACAGAAAAAGUUCCGGCUAACUACGUGCCAGCAGCCGCGGUAAU
rnacentral:rRNA from 1 species